rnacentral:rRNA from 1 species
UGGGGAAUAUUGCACAAUGGGGGAAACCCUGAUGCAGCUACGCCGCGUGAACGAAGAAGGUAUUCGUAUCGUAAAGUUCUGUCCUAUGGUAAGAUAAUGACAGUACCAUAGAAGAAAGCUCCGGCUUAAUACGUGCCAGCAGCCGCGGUAAUACGUAUGGAGCGAGCGUUGUCCGGAAUUAUUGGGCGUAAAGGGUACGCAGGCGGUUUAAUAAGUCGAAUGUUAAAGAUCGGGGCUCAACCCCGUAAAGCAUUGGAAACUGAUAAACUAGAGUAGUGGAGAGGAAAGUGGAAUUCCGAGUGUAGUGGUGAAAUAAGUAGAUAUUAGGAGGAAUAACAGUAGCGAAGGCGACUUUCUGGACACAAACUGACGCUGAGGUACGAAAACGAGGGGAGCAAACAGG